rnacentral:lncRNA from 1 species
AAUACGAGGAAAUAAAAAGGGGCAAGUGCCCGGAACCUCGAAAGAAAAGAAAAAAAGUGAGACGAGAGGUAAAAAUGGACAAGUGUCCAACUGUAGAAUUAGGGGUACCAGAUACCCACCUGAGAGAAAAGAAAAAGAAAAUAGAGAGCAUCUCAUUCUCUCAAAAAGCCUCAAGUGCAAGAAAGGUAUGUAUCCCUUCAAAAGAGCAUACAUAGAAUUAUACUUUCACCAUUGUUAUCACCAUCAUCACCAUUGUUAUCACCAUUCAUUCGCCACACAUGC